rnacentral:rRNA from 1 species
UUUUUAGCGGCGGAACGGGGGAGUAACGCGUGACCAAUCUGGCCUUUACAGGGGGUUAACACAGGGAAACUUGUACUAAUUCCGCAUUAUUAUUAUUUAAUCGCAUGGAUUGAGUGAUGAAAGUGGAAACACGGUAAAGGGGGAGCUCGCGUUUUUAUUAGAUAGUUGGUGGGGUAACGGCCUACCAAGUCAACGAUAGAUAGCCGACUUGAGAGAGUGAACGGCCACACUGGAACUGAGACACGGUCCAGACUCCUACGGGAGGCAGCAGUGGGGAAUAUUGCACAAUGGAGGAAACUCUGAUGCAGCGACGCCGCGUGAGCGAAGAAGGCCUUCGGGUUGUAAAGCUCUGUCCUUGGUGAGGAUAAUGACGGUAGCCAAGGAGGAAGCCCCGGCUAACUACGUGCCAGCAGCCGCGGUAAUACGUAGGGGGCGAGCGUUGUCCGGAAUUAUUGGGCGUAAAGGGUACGUAGGCGGUUUUUUAAGUCAGCAGUUAAAGCGCGGGGCUCAACCCCGUAAAGCUGUUGAAACUGGAGAACUUGAGAGAUGGAGAGGAAAGUGGAAUUCCUAGUGUAGCGGUGAAAUGCGUAGAUAUUAGGAGGAAUACCGGUGGCGAAGGCGACUUUCUGGACAUCAACUGACGCUGAGGUACGAAAGCGUGGGGAGCAAACAGGAUUAGAUACCCUGGUAGUCCACGCCGUAAACGAUGAGUACUAGGUGUCGGGGGUCAAACCUCGGUGCCGUCGUAACACAGUAA